rnacentral:rRNA from 1 species
GAAUAUUGGACAAUGGGCGAAAGCCUGAUCCAGCCAUGCCGCGUGAGUGACGAAGGUCUUCGGAUUGUAAAGCUCUUUUGGCGGGGACGAUAAUGACGGUACCCGCAGAAUAAGCCCCGGCUAACUUCGUGCCAGCAGCCGCGGUAAUACGAAGGGGGCUAGCGUUGUUCGGAAUUACUGGGCGUAAAGCGCACGUAGGCGGAUUGUUAAGUCAGGGGUGAAAUCCCGGGGCUCAACCUCGGAACUGCCUUUGAUACUGGCAAUCUCGAGUCCGGAAGAGGUGAGUGGAAUUCCUAGUGUAGAGGUGAAAUUCGUAGAUAUUAGGAAGAACACCAGUGGCGAAGGCGGCUCACUGGUCCGGUACUGACGCUGAGGUGCGAAAGCGUGGGGAGCAAACAG